AAAGCAAUUAUACUCCAAUAAAGAUGUUAAAAAAAAAAAAAAAGGAAAAGAAACAUAGUCCUAUUUGGGAUCCUUAUAUCCCAGUGAUACAAAGGAUUGACCUUUGAUUCAAAAUGACUUGCUGUAUUUUUUCAGAAGUGUGCUUAACAUAUUGGGCCUCAUAUGUGCUAGUUUGUAAGCUGAUAAUAAAGACAAAUAGAAGCAUUUUCAGUGCAAGAUACUCUGGUAUCCUGACAGUUAAUUUAUAUAUUAUACAGGACAGCCGGGUGCAGUACAUUUGGGAAUGUUACAGCCAAAUAAAGACAUCUUUACCCCUCUUCUUUUUUCCUCUCCAUAGACACAUAUAUCAGGGACCCAGGUCAAAUUUCUAGAACAAUUGUUUUCAGCCUUGGCUGCACAUCAGAGUCACCUGUUGGGGUUUUAGAAAUCCCUUUGCCCAAGCUUCACCCCAGAGGAAUUAAAUCAGAAUGUCUAGAGAUGACACCGAGGCUCGCGGGCUCUAGAGUGCAGGCUCAGUAGUUGUGGUGCACGGGCUUAGUUGCUCCACAGCAUGUGGGAUCUUCCUGGACCAGGGCUUGAACCUGUGUCCCCUGCAUUGGCAGGUGGAUUCUUAACCACUGCACCACCAGGGAAGUCGCAGAAAUUGCUUCUUUAAUGAGGGGGCAAGAUUGGAUGAAGAUGGGACACAGAAACAGCUAUAAUUCAGUGAGUGGCGAGUGACCAGAACAUUGAAAGGACAAGGAAUGGUGCCAUAGGAGGACUAUAUAAUGGAGCUAUAUAUUUAGCCUGAAGUGAAGGCAGCAGGUUACUGGGUCAAGGAAAAUGGGGAUUUUUACAGCAAUCCACAGUAUUUGAAAGGCUGCUGGUACUUUUGUGACUUCAGAGAACAAUUCUAAGAGGAAGUGGAAGUUAUGUAGUGAAACAAGUCUUGAUUUGGUAUCAGAACUUUCCUACAUUUGGAGCUCUCAAAUAGUUUCAUAGGAGGUUGCCACAGGCCCUUGUGUGGAUUUCUUCAAGCUCCUACUGCAUGCCCUUGCCCUUUCCAAUAUAAUACUGCUCCUUCAUGCUGAAACAGAAGUCAUCUGAGGUUGUAGAAUGGGGCUAGCUAAGGUUGCUUUGGGGAGGAAAUUCCAUCCUACUCUAAUGGCUUCUGGCUCCACUCUUGAAGGGUGGAGGUUUGCCACCAUUGGAUAACUUCAGAACAAUAUGCCACUGGCUCUGAGGGCAGUUCUAUAGAGAGAAUUUUGGAAAUGGAUUGAUUAAGGGCAAAUAUAUACUACCGGAAUAAGCAUACGUCUUGUGCAAAGGUGACCGCUUUGAAGGUACAGCCCUCAUUUGACUACGUAAAAAUCAGUCUCAUUACUUUAUUCUUAGUUUUCAUUAAAAUCUGAUGCUUACACAGAGCACAGUGAUGAGAAAUUUAAACUCAGUUAUGGCAUUCAGAUUCCAUUUGCUAGGUAAAAAUUUUGUUACAUGCUUAUUUUGCCAUUGCAUGUUGGUCUCUUACCGUUUUUUUCUUGAUUUGGAAGCACAUCUUCCUUCCCUACUGUUACUCUGCAUCUUGUGUAUAGUGAAAUUCUUCUUUUUUUUUUUUUUUUUUUUUUUUUUAAUUGAAGGUGAUCUAUGUGUGUCUGGAAAAGGUAACAUGGUGUUAGGGAAGAAAAUUGUCCCUGAAACUUUGUUUUCAUUACUUAGCAGGUUUUACAGUUAAUGACAGAAGUUUCUCUUGUGGCCUCUCCUCCCAAAGACUGUGCUUAUUUUUCUCCGGUAGUUUCAUGUGACCUUGUUACAAGCUUCAUGUAAUUCCCAAAUAAAUUACAUUUACUGGUUUACUUCUAUCUAGUAUUUUAUUGACAUUUCCAGAUAAGUUUAAUAGGAUGGAGAGAAACAGUGUUCUCUUUAUAGACUCAGUGGGUGAUUUGACCUUAGCAGGUUAACCUUAUCCUGAUGUUGAAGGAAGCUAUUCUUAAUUAGACUCUAUCAGUUUCUCCAUUAUCACCAAGAGAGCCACUGGUCUGUAAUUCUAUAAAUCUUAAUUUGAUUGUUUUUCUUUCUUACAGAAGAGCUACCAUAUUAGAAAAAUUGCAAUAUUUGGAAACAGUUGCUGGUUUUCUGAAUACAUUGCAUAUCCUCAUCUGUAGCUGAGCCAUUUCACACUUUAUUUCCUUCAGAAACUCUCAGUUGAAUACCAUCUGGUCAUGGUAAUUUAUUACUGUGGAAUUUCUCAAGUUGCUCUAUUAUUUCCUCCUAAGAGAUUGCUCUCUGCUACUGCCCCACUGAUUUUCUCAGAAAGUGCCCUUGGAAUAGUCGUUUCCCCACUAUCCUGUACAGCAAAGGUCAAUGCCAAAUGAAACUGAAUUAAACUUCUCUGCUGCUUCUCAUCCUUUUAUUUGUCCUCAUUUCAAGUCCUCACUGAUGGGGAGAAACUCAGCAGUUAGUCCAACCACUCAUGUUGUCUGCUUAGUCCUCAUGGUACCUUUUGUCCUGUUACUUUUCAAAUUCUUUUUUUUCCCUGACAGUGUAUUUUUGGUAUUUAAUUCAGAAAAAAAAGGCAAGUAUUAAAAAAGAUAUUCUAGAUACUUUCAGUUUAUUCAUAAGUGACUCUGGAAUUGUUUCCGGUUUUUUUUUUUUUUUUUCCCAAACUAUCCACAGAUUUCUCUUUUGACUUGUCGAAUAAUGAGCCUCUGUAUAUGUCUCUCAUUGCCACUGUCCUUUUCUGUCUUCUAAGCAGCCUGGAUAGUUUUUAAACUCCCUUACUUGCCUCUCGGAGGGAUGCCAACCAUUUUUUUUCUUCAAAUUUUUAACAUAUACUUUUUAAAGUUUCACCCUUUGGGUUAACAUUAAGAGAUGCCCAUACUAAUUAGAAAACAGCUUUAAUUGUGCCGACAUCCCAAUUGCUGAGUUCCACUCCUACGCAUACUCACCUGCGGGAAUUCCUAUAUGUUAUAUUAAUCUGUUUCUUCUUUUAUAACUGCCCAAAUAAGCCAAGGUACAGCAUAUUAAUUAUUGCUUCCCCACCUUGCACUCUUCUGUCAUUCAUUUGGAUAAUAAUGGACAUAAUUAAAAUCAUUCAUUGCAAAAGCCUUCCUAGAAAAGAUUGCUGAACAGUAAAGGUUAAAAGCAAUUUGCAUUAUUCUUUCAUAGUCUAUGGUUAACAUAACUUUUUUUUUACACCUGAACUUUGUUCAAAUAAUUAUUUUGUUUAUAAAAGGUUACUUAAUGUGCAUUCAAGUGUAAAUUGCUACUAGAAAUAUAUAUUUACCUUUAUACAAAGUACUGUAGCACAGAAUUUUUAAACUCAGGUGUUGAAACAUCAAAAGUUGAAACUUUUAACAUCUCCCAAGUGUGUUGUAAAUAUUUACCAUUUUAAAUUGAAGGAAAAAAAAUCAAGUCUUAAAUAUCACAUUCUGAGUAUAUGCAAUAUAAUCUUUCCUUAAGGUUCAAAUACAAAUACUACCAGUCCCACAGCUACCCAUCUCUGAAUAGAGUGCCUUUUGCUCAGUCUGUAAAGUGAAGUAACAGAUUAUAACAGCAGAGGAAAUAAAUGCUGAUUUUGUUCAUUUUAUGGCUAGCACAUCUUUUCCUUUGCCAGGUAAGGCAGGCUGUUCUAAAAAUAAGUUAGGCAUAUAACUAUUUGGUGCUAGUAUGGAUAUGUUCUUUGAAUUUUUGAAUACAUUAAGAUUCUGUCCAUCCCAAGCUACUUUGUAUGUAUAUGUAUAUGUAUGUGUGUGUGUAUGUGUUUGUGUGUGUAAAUAUAUAUAUAUAUAUAUAUAUGGCCUUCCAAGAAAUAUCUACCAUGUUAUAAUUCUAAAACCUGUCUUUCUACCUUCAUCCCUACCAAUUCCCUUUAUUCUUUAACAUAUACAAAAUGUAAUAUUCAAAAAUAAAUAAGAUCUUAUUUUUAGUGCCUGCUGUUAUAAAAGUUAUCCCUCUGUAGUAAGUAACCUUUAUGGCUGUGUCAGGCAGUUUACACUAAAACAACUUUCAUGAUAAUAUGUAACAAUUCACUGAAAAUUCCUUCUGGAAAGGUAAGUCUGAGUCUUUUUCUGUUUAUCCAUUUAGUAGUAAGACUAUUUAAUAACUAUAUUGCCCAAGCAGAUAUUUGUGUGUAGAAAAUACCAGUAUCAUUCUAUAUUUGCCAUGGUUGGAAAGUGGGAUUUUCCUGUCUUAGCUGAAGUCCCAACAUUUAUGUAUUAAAACUGCUUGGAACAAGAAUAUGUUAUAAAGUUUGUAGGGCUUGUCUUCUGACAAAAUCUCUUUCAGAAAGUUAAUAUUGUAUUGGUUGAUGUCUCAAACAUAUGUAGGUAAAUAUGUAGAAAUAUUCAUAGGUCACAGUUUAAAGUUACAUAAAAACCAGGUGAGGUAGGCAUCUCACAGUGCAAGACCUAAGGUAUGGACAAUAAUCAGGGUUCUCUGAAGUCGCCUGUACUUCUUUUUCUAGAAAGUUAUUCUUUCACUGGAAAAGUCUUAGGAUAGACUUUCUUAUGAAUUUGAUUCCAACUUCACUCAAGCAAGCAAAAUUUAGUUCAGGUUUUGGGCAGUUUCAGUCCUGAUAUUUUCCUCUUCCUUUAUUCACUGGUCUUUUCAGUGGAGUUUGGAAUGGAGAGGAUGCAUGUGUUAAUAAGCAGGGUUCUCCAGAAAAACAGAACCAACAUGAUACAAAAGAAGUGUAUUAUGAGGAGCUGGCUCAGAUGACUAUGGAGGCUAAGAAGUCCCACAAUCUGCUGUCUGUAACUUGGAGACCCAGGAAAGCCAGUAGUGUAUUUCAGUCCAAGUUCAAAGGCUUCAGAACCAGGGGAUCCAAUGACGUACAUCCCAGUCCAAAAGCAGGAGAAAAUGAGGUGAGAUGUCACAGUUCAAGCAAUGAGGCAAGAAAAAAGGGAGAAAUUAAAUAUCAUACAGAUUGUACAUACAAUGCUAAGAUGUUUCUAAAUGAAGAAACGUGAAAAAAUGUGUUAGUUUUGGAAUGUGGGAAGAGUUCCUGUUGUCCACAGUAGUCUACCUAUACCCCAUCACCCACAUAAACUCUGCUAUUAUAUCAUUUGAACAUCUUUAUCAGAGAUUAUGCAAAUGCUGUUGGUACUAUGAUGAUUUUUCAGAGUGUUUCUGUUUUUCCUUGGAAAACACUGUCACACAAGUGGUCAUUGAAAUGAGCUGUCAUUUAAUUUGGUAAUAGUUAUUUGUGUCCAUAUGCUACUAAGUGAAUUAAUUAUAUAGGCAUACAGUUUACGACUCUUUUAUUUUCUACUUUUAUUCUCCAAAUAAGAAGUUUGAAACAGAUAAAAUAGAAAUGUCAGAAAAUUCUCACUGUUGUCCAUGAGUAAAAAAUAAUAAUAAUUAAAAUACCAAGGAUUUAAAUUUCAUAUCUUUGAAAUGAUACUUUUUUUUUCCAUCCUAAUUACAAUUCCUCAAAAAUGAAAAAGGGAUUGAAACAAUGUGUCUGGUAGUUGAUGAAGUGCAAUUGAAAUGAAUUGGAAUGAAACUUAUUUUUCAGGAGGAAGAAAACCAGUUACCCAAGGGCAAUAGAAAAGUAAAUACUAGUAAGGUACAUUUUGCCUUAAAAUACACAUACACUAGUUUCCUAGGCAAGGAGGAGCCAAGGGAAGGGAAACGUGUCUUUAAACCUCCAUUUUAAUCGUUAUCUAAAAAAAAAUUUAACCUUUCU